rnacentral:rRNA from 1 species
GACGAACGCUGGCGGCGUGCCUAACACAUGCAAGUCGAACGAGAAAGCCCUUCGGGGUGAGUAGAGUGGCGCACGGGUGAGUAAUGCAUGGGAACGUACCUUCAGGAUGGGAAUAACCGAGGGAAACCACGGCUAAUACCGAAUAGUCUCGCGAGAGUAAAGAUGGCCUCUACUUGUAAGCUAUCGCCUGUUGAGCGGCCCAUGUCCCAUUAGCUAGUUGGUAGGGUAAUGGCCUACCAAGGCUACGAUGGGUAGCUGGUCUGAGAGGAUGAUCAGCCACACUGGAACUGAGACACGGUCCAGACUCCUACGGGAGGCAGCAGUGGGGAAUAUUGCACAAUGGGCGCAAGCCUGAUGCAGCAACGCCGCGUGAGUGAAGAAGGCUCUUGGGUCGUAAAGCUCUUUCGACAGGGAAGAAGGGUUCCUAGGUGAAUAAUCUAGGAGCUGGACGGUACCUGAUGAAGAAGCACCGGCUAAUUCCGUGCCAGCAGCCGCAGUAAAAC